CGACAGCAAUAUGAAGGUCAGGCUGAAGACCUUACCGGAUUAGCUGAGAGGUGGUGCAUGGCCGUCGUCAGUUCGUACUGUGAAGCAUCCUGUUAAGUCAGGCAACGAGCGAGACCCACGCCAACAGUUGCCAGCUCGUCCUCCGGGAUGGUGGGGACACUGUUGGGACCGCCUCUGCUAAAGAGGAGGAAGGAAUGGGCAACGGUAGGUCAGCAUGCCCCGAAUUAUCUGGGCUACACGCGGGCUACAAUGGGUGGGACAAUGGGUAUCGACACCGAAAGGUGAAGGCAAUCUCCUAAACCCAUCCGUAGUUCGGAUUGUGGGCUGCAACUCGCCCACAUGAAGCUGGAAUCUGUAGUAAUCGUGUCUCAAAAUGGCACGGUGAAUAUGUCCCUGCUCCUU
rnacentral:rRNA from 1 species